rnacentral:pre_miRNA from 1 species
AGUGGAAUUGCUGGGUCAUAUGGUAACUCUAUGUUUAACUUUUUGAGGAACUUGCCAGACUGUUCUCUAAAGCGACUACACCAUUUUUCAUUCCCACUAGCAAU